GCCCCAUUAGCUCAGUAGGUAGAGCACCUGACUUUUAAUCAGGGUGUCCCGCGUUCGAGUCGCGGAUGGGUCACCA
rnacentral:tRNA from 1 species